rnacentral:rRNA from 1 species
UACGGAGGAUGCAAGCGUUAUCCGGAUUUAUUGGGUUUAAAGGGUGCGUAGGCGGUAUUACAAGUCAGGGGUGAAAUCUUGGUGCUUAACAUUAAAAUUGCCUUUGAAACUGUGGUACUUGAGUGUAAAAGAGGUAGGCGGAAUGUGUUGUGUAGCGGUGAAAUGCAUAGAUAUAACACAGAACACCGAUUGCGAAGGCAGCUUACUAUCAUACAACUGACGCUGAUGCACGAAAGCGUGGGGAUCAAACAGG